AAUACCCAGAUUAAGGAUUUCUUGUUUUUACGAAGUGACGGAUAAGCAGCCGUCAAUUCGUGAAAAUAAACGAAUACGCUUUAUCACUCAAGAGUUUUUUCACGAAGUGACGGAAGGCAAAUUUUUACAGUUUGGAACAGCCGAAGACCAUGAAAUGAUGCAGUAUAUACAGUAAGCAAUGUUUCAGAGAACAAAUGAGAGAAGUCCUGGAACCAGUACACUCGCUAUUUAACAAUACAAUUCCAGGUUGGAUCCAGGAGCCAACAUGCUUGUCAGAUG